GCCUCUCUCUCUCUCUCUUUCCAUUUCCACCAGACAUGGGGAAGAGCAUAGGAGAAGGGGCGAUGGCAGACGACCACGACGACCCACGUGAGGCAGCGAUGGCGGCAGCCCCCGCUCUGCAUCCCGAUUUCCUUUCCUCGAGAGUCACCCGUGGCCAGAUCGACAAGCUCAAGGAGUUGCAUCAAAGACGCUUAAAAAUGAAACAACUGGUUAGCUCUAAAAGCCAGAAGAACUCAAAAGGUGUGAAGGAAGCAAGCACCAAGAAGAUUGAUGCAGAUUUACAACAACCAGUGGCUCACGCUUCUAUGCAACCCACUUGUAUCACAGACAAAGUAAGAGUGGCUCUGAAUGAAGAUUCACCAUCUUAUCCAUGGAGAAAACGCCAGAAAUUACACUGGGGACUUGAUACAAAAGAGAGAUGGGAGAGGAAGGCCAACAUGUAAAUUGUCUGGCUGGCUUAAAGUUGUGAGGAGGCCAGACUCCAGUGGACCAGCAUAUCAGUUGCUGGUUCUCUUAUAGUGUCGGAACUGUCAGACGAGAUUAUGUUCCGGUGGAUUUUGAUGGCCAGUUGGAUCAAUCGCGGCUGACGUGUAGAUCGACUAGGCGGGCAUCAACUCUUGCAUUCCGUGUGCCGUACAGGUUUUUAUGGAAAGAUGGACUCAGACUGUUGGCAACAAUCACAUGAGCUGAUCAUGUAUGAGGCUAGCUGGUUUGGCACCCUCUUGACCUUCGUCUAGUAGAAAGACAACUAGGACCAAGUGCCAAUGGCAUGAGCGGAGGCUCCCUCUCUCUCUCUUGAGGCUAACAACUAGGAAAAUGUGAUUCACUUGUCAAUAAUAAAAGUAAUGCAAGUCGAAUAAAAGUACUCCAAAAGGAUUUCUCAAAUUGUACAAGACUCAAUUAAUAGCAAAACGUCACA